UACGAAGGGUGCAAACGUUGCUCGGAAUCAUUGGGCGUAAAGCGCACGUAGGCGGCUUCGCAAGUCGGGUGUGAAAGCCCCGGGCUCAACCUGGGAAUUGCAUUCGAGACUGCAUUGCUGGAGUACGGAAGAGGAAGGCGGAAUUCCCGGUGUAGCGGUGAAAUGCGUAGAUAUCGGGAGGAACAUCAGUGGCGAAGGCGGCCUUCUGGUCCAGUACUGACACUCAAGUGCGAAAGCGUGGGGAGCAAACAGG
rnacentral:rRNA from 1 species